UUGCAAAAUAAGAGAUCAUGCCAAAAUUUUCAAUUUGGGCUCGAUUUUAUUAUAUUUUCAAAUUAUAUAUAAUUUUUAAAAAUCAAAAAUAUAUUUUUUGGAUAAAUAUAUAUAUAUAAUAAAAUUCUAAAAAUUUGUAAAAUUACAAGGGUAUUUAGGGACAUGCAAGCUACUCUCCGGCAAAAUUUGGUGUCUAUUUAUUCAAAUUUUGAUGCGAUCACGUACAUAGUGGCCUAGGCUUAAAUUUGAAAAAAAUUAAAAAAAUAAAUAGUCUUUGAUGCAUGCCCACGGGCCUAGAAAAAUAUAUGUAGCAUCUAUUAUAGGAUUCUCUAUGGAUCUAAGCUGCAAUUAAUUUUACACAUACUACAUAGAAUAGGAACCACGAUACACGAUCUGAUUGAGCCAACGAGGAUAUGAUUACAUAUAAGAGACAAGCUCCCCGAGAUCAUUUAGGAGGACACGCUGCAACUGCAGAUGACCUCGCACGUGGAGUAGGAUCCAUAGAUAUAUCAGGUUUCGAGUCGUAUAUGGAUCCUAUUAUCUGCAGCCACAGACAACCUAUGAGCCAUACAAAAACGAAUAUGGUGCAUUUGAGAUAUCUUCCGGUGGCUACUACUCUACGUAGCCCAGAGCAUCUUACGUGUCGAAUUUUGCUGCCAACUUAUUCAAAUGGGCCCCCUCACAGUCAUUUUAUUAGCUAGAGGACACCUCUCAGAGCCAGAGCUUCAGCGAGAGAUCCGAGAGUGCUUAUAACCCAAAGCACGUUCUUUAUGGAAUGUGCAUACAUGACUACAACGCCGCUUCAUUAGAGAGGUGAGAUGAUGUGCCUCCUGACUAUACUAAUGAUCCAAAUAUCUAUAAGAAGCAUUGCCACUCGACGAGUAUUUUAGAUAUCGGUAUAUAUGUUGUACUUUAAAUAUACGUAAUUGAUUGUAUUA
rnacentral:lncRNA from 1 species